ACUAUUCAGACAUCUAUUCCAAGUGAUAGACAUGACACUUCUUAGUCUGGAGAUUCCCUGCAGCAAAGAUCAACAGCUGCAACCUGACGAUCCCUAAGCUCUCUUCUAGGCCCCUUCAGUUACUGGAAGGCUGUAAGCUCUCUCUGGAACCUACUUUUUUCAAGGCUGAACAACCCAAACUCUCUCAGCCUGGCUUCACAGGAGAGGUGUUUCAGGUGUUUCAUGGCCCUCCUCUGGACUCACUGCAGUAGCUCCUUCUUAUGUUGUGUGCCUCAGAGCUGGACACAGUACUCCAGAGCAUCCAACUAGUCAACACGGAGCAGUAGGUAGAAUAACAGGUACACUGUUCCCUGUGGGUUAAAUCCUUGGUGUUCAGUCUGAGGGAGUCAUUCCGUAUUGUCCUGAGCAUGAGGUGAACUUUAUUUAACAGUUGUAUUUACCAAACAGAAAUAAGCCACAAGAAUAAGCCACAAUCUGUGUAUAGUUUCAGGUUCUUAACCACAUACACACAGGGAAAUUAUUCUAGUACCUUAGUCAAGCUGCGAGCUGCCUUGAGAAUGGAGAAAGAAGACCUAAUUUUUUGAGACCCUGGGUUUCUAAGUAGGAACCCCUGUGCAGCUCCAAAUCUGCAGUUCAUGGCUUUGUGGUGCAACUCUUAAUUAUGGAAUUAAUGAAUUAUUGAAUCAUUUAGGUUAGAAAAGGCCUUUAAGCUUAUCAAGUCCAACCACUAAUGAAGAAACAGAGCUCAAAAAAAUAUCACAGGGAAUGGGCAGAAUUAAAGCCUGUCUGGCCUGAGACAGAUUGUCCUUCCCCAGUAAAUACUUUCUUGACUCUGACAAAGUACUUGAUGAACUAACCAAUAGACUAGCCCAGUCCUUCUGCUAAGCACACACACAGUUUCUAGCUUUCACUGAGCUCCCAUUCGUACUGGAUUACACAGCCAGAUAAGAAGAGUAAAAAGCAGGUCAAGUAACUUGCCUGCGGUCACACAGCGAGUGGCUUAACUUCUAUCUGAUGGCGAUUAAACAGGCACUAAAAAUACAAGAAAUUCAGACAGCUGAAAAAUAGCAUAAAUGCUUGAAAGUACAAAAAAGGACUAUUAAGGAACCCAAACAAUCUUUACUUUCCCCCUGAGGCACUAACCAUUUCCAGUUUCAUGUCUUUGUUCUUUCAUACCUAAGUUAGAGGUGGUAUUAUUUUUGGAUCAAGAUCUUUUGCGUAGGCCUUUCAGAAGUCUGUAGUCUCUGACUAUGGAAACCUGAAAUCUGAAGGAACCAACAUACUCGUACAAACUGCAGGUGGAGUGCUGAAAAUGUGCACAGGAUAUGGUAUUUUUAAUCUCUUUUGAUGCUUACUGUCUUCGUUACUGUAUGUGAUGCUUCAUCAACAUGCUCACCUUUGCUGUUUUCUAGUAAGUACUGUAAUUUAAUGAUCUGGUUUUAGGGGUUAGGAAGUUUGUGUAUUUAAGUACACUAGCUCUGUGUUUAAUGACACUUGUAUAAAUGGU